UUUAACUGCAACCACAAGUUUCUGCGUCCAACUUUGAUCGUUCGUCUUAUUUAAAUUUUUUUUUAUAAUUAGCAUUUUUAUUAUUAUGAGAUAAUAAAACAUGAAUAAUACUUUAUAUGUAACUUAUGUUUUUAAUUUUUUUCAAAUUUUUUUCAAAUAAAAUGAAUCCUGAGAUUGACGAAGUCACCACUUGCGUCAUCGACG
rfam:Oryza nivara chromosome 8, whole genome shotgun sequence.